rnacentral:pre_miRNA from 1 species
CGUGCAGCGGUGGGGUCCCUUGGCCUGGCCUGUGCCCUCUCACAAUCCCGGACCCCUCGGGGGAUGUCACAGAGCCAGUUUCAGCCCAAUCCCACAGGCCUGGCCAAGGGACCCCACUGGUGCACA